AUAAGACGGAAAACAUCUGUGCGCUGACUCAAAUAUCUCUCCUCUGUUCCUCCAGGGUUGGCUCUUUUCCUCCUGACAUAAGAGUGGCAAAAAUAACAAAUGUCGUUUAUUGAGGACAUACUACAUGUUAGGGACUCUUUGUACAGUAUCUCAUCAAUGCUCACAGCAACUCAUUGACGUGGAUAUUAUCACUCCUGUUUUACAGGCGAGAAGACAAAAAUUUGGAGAUGACUUGUGCCAGACCACGCAGCCAGCAGAACAGACGAUGGAGACAGAGAGUGCUAAUUGAACAUUUGGACUUCCUCAAUGGCUUAGCGGGUAAAGGAUCUGCCUGCAAUGCAGGAGACACACAGAAGACAUGAGUUUGAGAAGACAGGGGUCGAGAAGAUUCUCUAGAAAAGGAAACCCACUCAAGUAUUGCCUGAAAUAUCCCAUGGACAGAAGAGCCCAGCAGGCUACAGUCCAAAGGGUUGCAAAUAGUUGGACAUGACUGAGUGAUUAAGGAUGUAUGCAAUUGAAAACUUAGGUUAAUAAAGGAAUUUAAAAGAGGAAAAAA